rnacentral:rRNA from 1 species
AAGCAUCGGCUAACUACGUGCCAGCAGCCGCGGUAAGACGUAGGAUGCAAGCGUUGUCCGGAUUCAUUGGGCGUAAAGAGUUCGUAGGUGGUCUGUUAAGUUUGGUGUUAAAGAGCGGGGCCCAACCCCGAUAGUGCACUGAAUACUGGCAGACUUGAGUGCGGUAGAGGUAAGUGGAAUUCCAAGUGUAGCGGUGAAAUGCAUAGAUACCAUCAGGAACACCGAUUGCGAAGGCAGCUUACUGGGCUUGAAUUGACGCUGAGGCACG